UAAAAAUGUAAAAUUUUUAUAUAAAAUUAUUAGUAGAUAUGAUCUUUAAAAUUAAAGAUUUUGGCGGUAUUUUAGUCUUUUCAGAGGAACCUGUUCUGUGAUUGAUACUCCACGAUUAAUUUUACUUUAGUUAUUAGUUUGUAUAUCGUUGUAAAAGAAUAUUUUUGUAGAAUUUAAAUAUUCAGGAUUUUUAAUUAUAAAAUAAAUCAAAUCAAGGUGCAGUUUAUAUUAAAGAAGAAAUGGGUUACAAUAAAUAAAUUUUUGGAUUAAAAUUUUAGGUUUUAUGAAAAUGGAUUUGAAAGUAAUUUUUAGUUAAUUAUAAAAAUGAUUUAAGCUCUAAAAUAUGC
rnacentral:rRNA from 1 species